rnacentral:rRNA from 1 species
AGUGAACGCUGGCGGUAGGCCUAACACAUGCAAGUCGAACGGCAGCACAGUAAGAGCUUGCUCUUACGGGUGGCGAGUGGCGGACGGGUGAGGAAUACAUCGGAAUCUACUUUUUCGUGGGGGAUAACGUAGGGAAACUUACGCUAAUACCGCAUACGACCUACGGGUGAAAGCAGGGGAUCUUCGGACCUUGCGCGAUUGAAUGAGCCGAUGUCGGAUUAGCUAGUUGGCGGGGUAAAGGCCCACCAAGGCGACGAUCCGUAGCUGGUCUGAGAGGAUGAUCAGCCACACUGGAACUGAGACACGGUCCAGGCUCCUACGGGAGGCAGCAGUGGGGAAUAUUGGACAAUGGGCGCAAGCCUGAUCCAGCCAGACCGCGUGGGUGAAGAAGGCCUUCGGGUUGUAAAGCCCUUUUGUUGGGAAAGAAAAGCAGCAGGUUAAUACCCCGCUGUUCUGACGGUACCCAAAGAAUAAGCACCGGCUAACUUCGUG